UACGUAGGGGGCAAGCGUUGUCCGGAAUCAUUGGGCGUAAAGCGCGUGUAGGCGGUCCGGUAAGUCCGCUGUGAAAGUCGGGGGCUCAACCCUCGAAUGCCGGUGGAUACUGUCGGGCUAGAGUGCGGAAGAGGCGAGUGGAAUUCCUGGUGUAGCGGUGAAAUGCGCAGAUAUCGGGAGGAAUACCUAUGGCGAAAGCAGGUUACUGGGCCAUCACUGACGCUGAGCUGCGAAAGCUAGGGGAGCAAACAGG
rnacentral:rRNA from 1 species